UACAGAGGGUGCGAGCGUUAAUCGGAAUUACUGGGCGUAAAGCGCACGUAGGCGGCUUGGUAUGUCGGGUGUGAAAUCCCCGGGCUCAACCUGGGAACUGCAUCCGAAACUGCCUUGCUAGAGUAUGGGAGAGGGAAGUGGAAUUUCCGGUGUAGCGGUGAAAUGCGUAGAGAUCUGGAAGAACACCGAAGGCGAAGGCAGCGUUCUGGGAAGCAACUGACGCUCAUGUGCGAAAGCCAGGGGAGCGGAACGGG
rnacentral:rRNA from 1 species